rnacentral:rRNA from 1 species
UACGGAGGGUGCAAGCGUUAUCCGGAUUUACUGGGUUUAAAGGGUGCGUAGGUGGCGCCGUAAGUCGGGUGUGAAAUUUCGGAGCUUAACUCCGAAACUGCAUUCGAUACUGCGGUGCUUGAGGACUGGAGAGGAGACUGGAAUUCAUGGUGUAGCAGUGAAAUGCGUAGAGAUCAUGAGGAAGACCAGUGGCGAAGGCGGGUCUCUGGACAGUUCCUGACACUGAGGCACGAAGGCCAGGGGAGCAAACGGG